ACCCUCUGGCCUGCGAGAUGACGAGGGCGAGUAGCGGGGCCGCUGCUCCCUCGGGAUCCGGGUGUGGCUCGGCUCAGGUAACACCCGGCCCUGAGGACUCCUUCGGCCUCCGCCCACGGGGAGUGCUGAGACCGCCGGCCCGUGUGCUGGCGACCUUUACCCAGGCUUGGUCAAGGCUUCCUGGCUGGCGCAACUGCACGGGCCUCGCAGUGGACGCCUGCUGGUGACCUUUACUCUGUUAAACCGUCUUCCUGCUCUCCCAGUGAGAGCCUCAAAACUGGGGAAGAUGUACAUUUAAGAUUUGUACAGUGUUAAUGCAUGCAUAUUUCACAAUGAAUGAAGAACAGAAAACCAAAAUUUUAACUCAGUGAAUAGAUGAACUGGGAGAUGUCUGACUCGACUUAGAAUUUCCGAAGCGUGCACACUAUGGCUGAGUUUCAGACUGAAAAACCAGAGAAAACAGGUAGAAGUUACAAGAAAGAAAAAGUCUUUUUAGAAACACCACAAAGAAAAUGAUCAUCAAUCAUUUUCAAAAUGAUCAUCGAUCAUUCCAAAAGUAGAAUGGAUUGCCUGUGUGGAAGGUUUUUGUUUUAUGAGUGUGUGUAUAUGCAUGACUAUAUGUAUGGUACACGUGUGUGCAGUUGCCCUAGGAGGCCAGGAGAGGGCACUGUAUCUUCAGGAACUGGAAUUACUGGUGGUUACAAGCUGCCUAAUGUAGGAUAUGGGAGCCAGACUCACAUCUUGAGAACCAAACUUGCGUCCUUAGGAAGAACAGCAAGUGCUCUUAACAGAUGAAGUAUCUUUCCAGGCCUACUUUGGAAGUGUUUAAACUGAGAUGAGGUGGCUUUCUGUCCAUUUCCCUAAGAAUAAAGAAACAAGUUUGUGUGUGUGAGAAUAAAGAAACAAGUUUGUGUGUGUGUUUCUACUC
rnacentral:lncRNA from 1 species